rnacentral:rRNA from 1 species
GGGAAUGCCGUGGAAGGAGCCGAGGGAAUGGGUAGGGGGAAAGGGUGGUACGGAUUUAUUGGGCGGAAAGGGCGUGGAGGCGGCCAGAUAGGGCGGUUGUGAAAACUCGAGGCUCAACCUCGAGACGCCGAUGGAAACCAUCUGGCUAGAGUGCGGAAGAGGAGAGUGGAAUUCCGGGUGUAGCGGUGAAAUGCGCAGAUAGCAGGAAGAACACCCGUGGCUAAGGCGGCUCUCUAGUACGGUACUGACGCUGAGACGCGAAAGCGUGGGGAGCGAACAGGAUUAGAUACCCGAGUAGUC